rnacentral:rRNA from 1 species
UUGAACGCUGGCGGCAGGCUUAACACAUGCAAGUCGAGCGGGGGAAGGUAGCUUGCUACUGGACCUAGCGGCGGACGGGUGAGUAAUGCUUAGGAAUCUGCCUAUUAGUGGGGGACAACAUCUCGAAAGGGAUGCUAAUACCGCAUACGUCCUACGGGAGAAAGCAGGGGAUCUUCGGACCUUGCGCUAAUAGAUGAGCCUAAGUCGGAUUAGCUAGUUGGUGGGGUAAAGGCCUACCAAGGCGACGAUCUGUAGCGGGUCUGAGAGGAUGAUCCGCCACACUGGGACUGAGACACGGCCCAGACUCCUACGGGAGGCAGCAGUGGGGAAUAUUGGACAAUGGGGGGAACCCUGAUCCAGCCAUGCCGCGUGUGUGAAGAAGGCCUUAUGGUUGUAAAGCACUUUAAGCGAGGAGGAGGCUACUUUAGUUAAUACCUAGAGAUAGUGGACGUUACUCGCAGAAUAAGCACCGGCUAACUCUGUGCCAGCAGCCGCGGUAAUACAGAGGGUGCGAGCGUUAAUCGGAUUUACUGGGCGUAAAGCGUGCGUAGGCGGCUUAUUAAGUCGGAUGUGAAAUCCCCGAGCUUAACUUGGGAAUUGCAUUCGAUACUGGUGAGC